AUUGCAAUGAUGAUAGAACAGACAGGGACAUCAGCACCCUCUGGGGAUGAUGAUUUGUCGAUGGGAAUCUCUCUGAUGCUUG
rfam:Solanum lycopersicum cultivar Heinz 1706 chromosome 6, whole genome shotgun sequence.